UUGAUACUCCCUCUGUCCUAAAAUUCUUGUCUUAAAUUUAUCUAGAUAUUAAUGUAUCUAGUCACGUUUUAGUAUUUACAUACACUCAUUUCUAAACAAAUCUAAGACAAUAAUUUUGGGGCGGAGGGAGUAUGUU
rfam:Hordeum vulgare subsp. vulgare, WGS project CAJW01000000 data, contig: morex_contig_58220